GGGUUGUGAGGUUAAGCGACUAAGCGUACACGGUGGAUGCCCUGGCAGUCAGAGGCGAUGAAGGACGUGCUAAUCUGCGAUAAGCGCCGGUAAGGUGAUAUGAACCGUUAUAACCGGCGAUUUCCGAAUGGGGAAACCCAGUGUGACUCGUCACACUAUCAUUAACUGAAUCCAUAGGUUAAUGAGGCGAACCGGGGGAACUGAAACAUCUAAGUACCCCGAGGAAAAGAAAUCAACCGAGAUUCCCCCAGUAGCGGCGAGCGAACGGGGAGGAGCCCAGAGCCUGAAUCAGCAUGUGUGUUAGUGGAAGCGUCUGGAAAGGCGCGCGAUACAGGGUGACAGCCCCGUACACAAAAAUGCACAUGCUGUGAGCUCGAUGAGUAGGGCGGGACACGUGGUAUCCUGUCUGAAUAUGGGGGGACCAUCCUCCAAGGCUAAAUACUCCUGACUGACCGAUAGUGAACCAGUACCGUGAGGGAAAGGCGAAAAGAACCCCGGCGAGGGGAGUGAAAAAGAACCUGAAACCGUGUACGUACAAGCAGUGGGAG
rnacentral:rRNA from 1 species